AAAGUUGUGCCUGGAAAUAUUCAAGAAUUACUAACCUCUCCGCUUACGUUAGCGGUCUGGUUCAUGGACGAUGGAACGCUUGAUUAUCGCCUGAAAGACCACUGUGCUUUUCAUCUUUGUACAAAUUGCUUUACAAAGGAAGAGGCUCAGAGACUUGCAAGUGUCCUAGGUGAUAAUUUCGGCAUUGUUGCUUCCGUGCACUACACACUGUGCCGGGGCAAGCGGCAUGCCAGAGUCUACAUCGGUUCGAAAGGAAGAGAUCAAUUUAUUAAAUUGAUCGAACCUUUUGUCUUGGAUUGUUUUAAGUAUAAAUUACCUCAAUUUAGACACCCCUCAGAGACUCAACCACAUGGAUUGGUUGGAUAGUAAGUGAUGAAUGCAAUGAUUUAUUGCUGGAUGGCUUACUAUAAGACGCUGAGCUCCAGUUCUUGAAAAAGGAUUGGAUGAUGAUAUAGUCCAAAUUAAAACACAUAAUAUUAAUUAUGUCGAGGCCAGCAGCAGCGGUAAUACAGAGACCCCGAGCAUUAUCCGGAAUUACUGGGCGUAAAGGGCACGUAGUCGGUUGUGAUAGUCUGAUGUUAAAUCUCAUCGCUCAACGGUGAGGCCGCAUUAGAAACGUCACGUCUAGAGCAAGUCAGAGGCACGCGGAACGUGUGGUGUAGCGGUGAAAUGCAUUGAUAUCACACGGAACACCAAAAGCGAAAGCAGCGUGCUGGGGCUUUGCUGACGAUGAGGUGCGAAAGCGUGGGGAUCAAAAAGGAUUAGAUACCCUUGUAGUCCACGCCCUAAACUAUGCAGACUAGCUAUGGGGAGCAUCGACCCUCUCCGUGGCGCAGCUAACGCAUUAAGUCUGCCGCCUGGGAAGUACGAUCGCAAGAUUAAAACUCAAAGGAAUAGGCGGGAGUUCGCACAAGCGGUGGAUCAUGUGGUUCAAUUCGACACUGAGCGAAAAACCUCACCAGGGCUUGAAAUCCAGCUGCACGCUUCCCGAAAGGGAGGAAGCCUUCGAGGGUGCUGGACAGGUGAUGCACGGCUGAAAUUAUCGGCCAUCGAGAGAGUAAUCUCUCGAAAAAAAUUCCAACUCAUAACGGUGAAACCCGACCCUCUCCAUGCUAUAAUGGGAAGAUGGGCAAUACCGUGGGAAGUCCCGCC
rnacentral:rRNA from 1 species